AUCCAGCUGACGAGUCCAAAGAAGGACGAGAUGCGCAUCCUGCAU
rfam:Trichobilharzia regenti genome assembly, scaffold: TRE_scaffold0003971